rnacentral:lncRNA from 1 species
GUUGUAAUACUUUCUUAUGUGUUCUUGUUGCUUGAUUCUUGCAGGCGUAGAGGGAAAGAUUGUGGUUGAGCUGAUUUUGCUGGGCAAAUUUGGAUGCAGGGGCAAACAUUAUCUGAUUUUUUUCUUUAUUGUUCUGUUCUUUUUUUUUUGGUUUCGGGUAUGUGGAUUUGAUUUUGUGAUCGUUGUUCUGAUUGUGCAAGGAGGAGUCUCUUGCACGUAGAACAUAGAAACUACC